rnacentral:rRNA from 1 species
CAGUCGCCACGGUAAUACGAAGGGUGCAAGCGUUACUCGGAAUUACUGGGCGUAAAGCGUGCGUAGGUGGUGGUUUAAGUCCGUUGUGAAAGCCCUGGGCUCAACCUGGGAAUUGCAGUGGAUACUGGGUCACUAGAGUGUGGUAGAGGAUAGUGGAAUCUCCGGUGUAGCAGUGAAAUGCGUAGAGAUCGGAAGGAACAUCUGUGGCGAAGGCGACUAUCUGGGCCAACACUGACACUGAGGCACGAAAGCGUGGGGAGCAAACAGGAUUAGAGACCCCGGUAGUCCCUGUCUCUUAUAC